CAAUAGCUACAAACGCAUAAACGGUGUAUAAUUUUACAAAUAUUUCUGUUCUCAUUUAAUCCUGUCCAUCCUCGGUAAGGAAAUGAAAAGUGUUUUGCUGUUGAUGAUUCUGCUUUUGUGUUUAACACACACGUUGUCGUGGAAUGAUGGUUUGUGGGGCAGAGAGCUGCGCAAGAGAAUGAGACCAAACUAUGAUGAUGAAGUAAUGAAACUAGCUGAAGAAAUUAUCAAUCGACAACAUUUUUUAGGAAUAGCAGCAAAAAAAUUUGCCAAAAAAAGAAAAAAUGAAGAAGCAGUAAAAACACAAUAAUGUAGCAACUAAAAGUGGGUCAUGUAAAAGUUGAAAUAUUAUAAUAGAUUUGGAUAUGCUUGUAAAGAAACAUUAAUCGAGAUAAAUAAGCAGUUUCCAUGCAUUAAAAA